AGGGUUGUGGCUCAGUGAUAGAGCACACGCCUAGCACGGGUGAGGCCCUGGGUUCGGUCCUCAACAUCACAU
rnacentral:tRNA from 1 species